UACGGAGGGUGCAAGCGUUAUCCGGAUUCACUGGGUUUAAAGGGUGCGUAGGUGGGCAAGUAAGUCAGUGGUGAAAUCUCCGGGCUUAACCCGGAAACUGCCAUUGAUACUAUUUGUCUUGAAUACAGUGGAGGUAGGCGGAAUGCGUCAUGUAGCGGUGAAAUGCUUAGAUAUGACGCAGAACACCAAUUGCGAAGGCAGCUUGCUACACUGUUAUUGACACUGAGGCACGAAAGCGUGGGGAUCAAACAGG
rnacentral:rRNA from 1 species